CCAAAAUGUGUCAUCGUAUAAAGUAUCAAUUUUACCUCCCAGUAGGGUGACUCUAAGACCUGGCUGACCGGCUGGGUUCUCUGAAUGUCGCCUGCAAGCAGCGGGGCUCUAAAGACUUUAAAGUGAAAAUCCAAAACUCCACAUGCAAGACAAGGAAAAAGUUGGCAAGCCUGAGUUCAGCUUCUGUCCAUGCAGGUCUCCACUACAAACUCCAGCUGCCGACCAGUGACCCUCCAGUCUGCCGGGACUGCCUCACAGUGCAGUCAGUUUCUCACAUCUGUCUAAGGAGCCUUCUGCUGAUGGCAGCUCCUGGAGCCACCCAUGCUUCUACAGUCUGAGACUGUAAGAAACACAUCAAGAAGACCUUGGCAGACAUGCUAUAAGGUGAGAUCUGGAGGAGCUGAGAGAUGCCUCACCUUCUUGGUUUCUUGUCUGGGCAGGAA